rnacentral:rRNA from 1 species
CUCGUGUCGUGAGAUGUUGGGUUAAGUCCGUAACGAGCGCAACCCUGUCCUUAGUUACCAGCACGUUAUGGUGGGCACUCUAAGGAGACUGCCGGUGACAAACCGGAGGAAGGUGGGGAUGACGUCAAGUCAUCAUGGCCCUUACGGCCUGGGCUACACACGUGCUACAAUGGUCGGUACAAAGGGUUGCCAAGCCGCGAGGUGGAGCUAAUCCCAUAAAACCGAUCGUAGUCCGGAUCGCAGUCUGCAACUCGACUGCGUGAAGUCGGAAUCGCUAGUAAUCGUGAAUCAGAAUGUCACGGUGAAUACGUUCCCGGGCCUU